UCCCCGCUUGAAGACGGUGAUUGAGUUUCUUUCUCACCAUCUUCAUACCUCCCUGUUGGACUUGGGCCGAGCUUUAGCUCGGCCUUUUUU
rnacentral:ncRNA from 1 species